rnacentral:rRNA from 1 species
GGUAGGUGGCAAGCGUUGUCCGGAAUUAUUGGGCGUAAAGCGCGCGCAGGCGGUUCUUUAAGUCUGAUGUGAAAGCCCACGGCUCAACCGUGGAGGGUCAUUGGAAACUGGAGAACUUGAGUACAGAAGAGGAAAGCGGAAUUCCACGUGUAGCGGUGAAAUGCGUAGUGAUGUGGAGGAACACCAGUGGCGAAGGCGGCUUUCUGGUCUGUAACUGACGCUGAGGCGCGAAAGCGUGGGGAGCAAACAGGAUUAGAUACCCUGGUAGUCCACGCCGUAAACGAUGAGUGCUAAGUGUUAGGGGGUUUCCGCCCCCUUAGUGCUGCAGCUAACGCAUUAAGCACGUCCGCCUGGGAGUACGGCCGCAAGGCUG